rnacentral:rRNA from 1 species
UACGGAGGAUGCGAGCGUUAUCCGAAUUUAUUGGGUUUAAAGGGUGCGUAGGCGGGAUGCCAAGUCAGCGGUAAAAAUGCGGUGCUCAACGCCGUCGAGCCGUUGAAGCUGGCGUUCUUGAGUGGGCGAGAAGUAUGCGGAAUGCGUGGUGUAGCGGUGAAAUGCAUAGAUAUCACGCAGAACUCCGAUUGCGAAGGCAGCAUACCGGCGCCCUACUGACGCUGAGGCACGAAAGCGUGGGUAUCGAACAGG